UGAGGAAUAUUGGACAAUGGAUGGAAAUCUGAUCCAGCCAUGCCGCGUGCAGGAAGACGGCCCUAUGGGUUGUAAACUGCUUUUGUAUGGGAGCAAUAAGGACUACGUGUAGUUUGAUGAGAGUACCAUACGAAUAAGCAUCGGCUAACUCCGUGCCAGCAGCCGCGGUAAUACGUAGGGGGCAAGCGUUGUCCGGAUUUACUGGGUGUAAAGGGUGCUCAGGCGGAUUUGUAAGUCAGAGGUGAAAUCUUACAGCUUAACUGUGAAACUGCCUUUGNUACUGCAAGCCUAGAGUAUGGAAGAGAGUGAUGGAAUAUCUGGUGUAGCAGUGAAAUGCGUAGAUAUCAGAUAGAACACCAAUGGCGAAGGCAGUCACUUGGUCCAUUACUGACGCUAAAGCACGAAAGCGUGGGUAGCAAACA
rnacentral:rRNA from 1 species